GUCUACGGCCAUACCACCCUGAACGCGCCCGAUCUCGUCUGAUCUCGGAAGCUAAGCAGGGUCGGGCCUGGUUAGUACUUGGAUGGGGGGAAGAUCGUCCCAGCCAAUUCGAGUUCUCCCAGUCA
rnacentral:rRNA from 1 species